GAACAUGUUUACCAUGAACGGGGUGGGGUGGUCGUGCUUAAUCGUUCGGUCCCCCAUCUUGUUGCCAGGAAGGGGCCUCACUUACGGGGGGCUGCUUCCCGGCACAAUAACGAACCCCGGCGCGGUCUGCGCCAAGGAACAUAAAUACAAGUGUGCCCUUCCCAGCCGGUCCGCCGGCAAGGGAGGUGGCACCAGGUCGUAUAUAAAACAUUAAACGACUCUCGGCAACGGAUAUCUCGGCUCUCGCAUCGAUGAAGAACGUAGCGAAAUGCGAUACUUGGUGUGAAUUGCAGAAUCCCGUGAACCAUCGAGUCUUUGAACGCAAGUUGCGCCCGAAGCCUUCUGGCUGAGGGCACGCCUGCCUGGGCGUCACG
rnacentral:misc_RNA from 1 species